UACGUAGGGGGCGAGCGUUGUCCGGAUUUAUUGGGCGUAAAAAGGCUUGUAGGUGGCCACGCGAAGUCGGAUGUGAAAUCUCCCGGCUACAACGUGGGAGGGGUCCAGUUCGAUACUGGCGGGCGUCGAGGCCGGUAGGGGGAACGGAAGUUCCCGGUGUAGUGGUGGAAUGCGAUAGAUAUCAGGAGGGAACGACCGGUGGCCGAA
rnacentral:rRNA from 1 species